UACGGAGGGGACUAGCGUUGUUCGGAAUUACUGGGCGUAAAGGGCGCGUAGGCGGCCACCGCAAGUCAGUUGUGAAAUCUCUGGGCUUAACCCAGAACGGUCAGCUGAUACUGCGGGGCUAGAGUGCAGAAGGGGCAACUGGAAUUCUCGGUGUAGCGGUGAAAUGCGUAGAUAUCGAGAGGAACACCUGCGGCGAAGGCGGGUUGCUGGGCUGACACUGACGCUGACAGCGCGAAAGCUAGGGGAGCGAACGGG
rnacentral:rRNA from 1 species